rnacentral:lncRNA from 1 species
AGUUAGACCGGCGGGCUGGCCUCUCUGUUGAGUCUUAGGUGGGGCUGCGACGUGUCGAUAUUCCAAGGUCGGGCAUGACCCAGAAAAGUGUGUCCGGCCAGAGUGUUAUCAAGCGUGACGGGAAAUGUGGUGCACCCCUGUAGGGAUGGAAAUUAACUAUCCGAAUAGCCGUGUCCACGGUUAUAGGACGACUUGGAGUUGUGCCCUGAUCUUUUACAACUACAAAUGUUACUUAACUUGAAUUAGUUGUCUCGGGAUUUCUUCCUCGCACGGAGUC